UAUUGCACAAUGGGGGAAACCUGAUGCAGCUAUACCGCGUGUGUGAUGAAGGUCUUAGGAUUGUAAAACACUUUCAGCAAGAGAAAAAAUUAUAUAAAUAAUACUUAUAUUAACUGAUAUUACCUGCAAAAGAAGUACCGGCUAACUCCGUGCCAGCAGCCGCGGUAAUACGGAGGGUACAAGCGUUAAUCGGAAUUAUUGGGCGUAAAGAGUACGUAGGUGGUAUAUUAAGUCAGAUGUGAAAUACUUAAGCUUAACUUAAGAACUGCAUUUGAAACUAAUAAACUAGAGUUUUAUAGAGGGGAGUAGAAUUCCAAGUGUAGCGGUGAAAUGCGUAGAUAUUUGGAGGAAUACCAGAGGCGAAGGCGACUCCCUGGGUAAUAACUGACACUGAGGUACGAAAGCUUGGGGAGCAAACAGGAUUAGAUACCCUGGUAGUCCAUGCUGUAAACGAUGUCAAUUUGAAGAUUGUAAUAUUAUUAUUUUUUAUAAUUUUCGUAGCUAACGCAUUAAAUUGACCGCCUGGGGAUUACGACCGCAAGGUUAAAACUCAAAUGAAUUGACGGGGACCCGCACAAGCGGUGGAGCAUGUGGUUUUAAUUCGAUACAACGCGAAAAACCUUA
rnacentral:rRNA from 1 species